GACUUUAUAUUCAAUAAUGAUAUUAGAUUGCAAAUCUGAAGGAGUAAUUUAUUUACUAAAGUUU
rnacentral:tRNA from 1 species